GUGCUCGCUUCGGCAGCACAUAUAGUAAAACUGGAACGAUACAAAGAAGAUUAGCAUGGCCCCUGUGCAAGGAUGACAUGCAAAUCAUGAAGCAUUCCAUACUUUA
rnacentral:snRNA from 1 species